UCUUGCUUUCACCAAGAAUACAAUCUUGAGUAGAAAUGGAUGCCCCUCCAGCAUAUCAAGUAAUGAAUGCAUCUCGAGAGCCAUCAAGUGCCUAUGAUCAUAUUCAAUUACGCCGCGAACAAAAAGGCGGUACUUAUGCUUGCUUGUUUGCUUUGUGUUGCUGUUUCUGUUGCAUCGAGACUUGUGAAUGCUGCUUGGAGAACUUAUGCUGCUGUAGGUUCCUCUGGGGUAGGAAAGAACCACUUCUAACAUAGGAUACUACUACCAUUUAAGAAUGAAAAGAAGUAGACUACUCUUGAGUUUUGUGUGAGAGCCUAGCUAGAGGAUUGAUGCUUUGGUAAAAAAUGGUAUUCUGAGUUUGAAGUUUCAGUAAACUACUAUGUUUAUUCUCCUUGUUUUUGAUUAAUUAGAGGUCAGGUCGAGCCUCCCUCUUAAAUUGUACUUUAUUUUAAUAUUUUCAAAUAAAUUGUGUCACCGAAAGUGGUUCUAUGAAAAGGAAAAGUGACUAUGUUUGCUCUU